rnacentral:rRNA from 1 species
CAAUCGGGCACUGAGAGAGGUGGAUAAGGUAUCACCGAAGUGAAUAUAUAGCUUUGGUGAAGCGAACCCGGGGAACUGAAACAUCUCAGUACCUGGAGGAAAAGACAUCAACCGAGAUUCCCGUAGUAGUGGCGAGCGAACCGGGACCAGGCCAGUGCUUCUUUGUUAGUUAGCAGAACACUUUGGAAAAUUUGGCCAUAGCGGGUGAUAGCCCCGUAUGUGAAAGCGAACAAAGAAGACUCGAGUAGGGCGGGACACGUGAAAUCCUGUCUGAACAUGGGGGGACCACCCUCCAAGCCUAAAUACUCGUACAUGACCGAUAGCGAACAAGUACCGUGAGGGAAAGGUGAAAAGCACCCCGAUUAGGGGAGUGAAACAGUACCUGAAACCGAAUGCUUACAAUCAGUUGGAGCCUCUUUAGGGGGUGACAGCGUACCUCUUGCAUAAUGGGUCAGUGACUUAAUCCAACAUGCGAGCUUAAGCCGUUAGGUGUAGGCGUAGCGAAAGCGAGUCUGAAUAGGGCGCUCAUAAGUAUGUUGGAUUAGACCCGAACCCCGGCGAUCUAGGCAUGGCCAGGUUGAAGGUGCAGUAACAUGCACUGGAGGACCGAACCGUUGAAUGUUGAAAAAUUCUCGGAUGAGCUGUGUUUAGGGGUGAAAGGCCAAUCAAGCCGGGAAAUAGCUGGUUCUCCGCGAAAUCUAUUGAGGUAGAGCGUCGGAUGUAUGCCGAUGGGGGUAGAGCACUGGAU